rnacentral:lncRNA from 1 species
UCUCAUAUUGCAUUAGUGUAUGUUGUUGAAUCAUAGACUAUGGAAUUUAAUGUGAGAUACUAUAGAACUUUGGUGAGAUACUGUUUACAUACAAAUCAGGUUUCGGAUAUCAAAUUUAACAUUUGCCUAAUACAAUUUUAGUUGGUUCAGCUGUUUCCUUGGUGAAGUGAAACUAAUAUAGUACUCAUGUAUAUAUAGGAUUUAUACACAAACAUGUUACAUAUGGAUCUAUACUAUCUUGAUAGGAAACGUUUACAAUAUACUAAAGAACUCUAAACCAGAUGAAAUGAGAAGGUGAAUCUUACAUAAUCUCAGAGAAACCCUAGAAAAAAUAAAGGAUAACACACCUUGGUCAUGUUUUGAUACAUCAUCAGAAAAAUUAUUCACACAUAAAAAGAAACAAACAAAUCAAUCAAAUAAACACACACACACACACACGUACUCUUCUGUUAAAUCCUAAACAAAUAUCAACUACGACUGCUAAACCCAUCACCUUUCAUCAUUUGAAGAAACUCUUUGUAAUUAACUCUACCAUCACCAUCAACAUCCACUUGCAUAAUCAUCUUCUUGCAACCUUCUUGGGUUUUACCUUGCUUGAGUCCCAAGGAACCCAUCACAGAUUUCAACUCCUCCACAGUGAUAAACCCAUCUCCGUCCUGGUCAAACACGUUAAAGGCUUCUUUCAUGUCCUCUUCUUCGGUUUCUCCAUCGUUGUGAUGCUCAUCGACAAUGGAUUGAAUUUUAAAUGUUGCAAAUGUCUUAGCAGGAUAUGUUGGUUGGCGUAAAUGAUUUGUGCGUUGUACACAAAAUGUAGUUAAUGGUCGUGCAAUACCUGGCAACACCAACAGAGGUUGAGUCACUACAUGCAGGAAGAGAUCCCAUGUUGCAGCUUUGUAGAACAUUUAGAGCAGGAUAUGUAGCACCCGCCACUGCUACCUAUAACAUUUUUAAAGAUAUAUAAGACCAUAUAACAUUUCGUUUUAUAUCUAAUACUAUAAUAGAUUUUUAGUCAAAAUAUAAUCCAAGAAUUGACUACAGAGCUGCACAAAAAGAGUAUUAUAAUACAUACUUACAUACUAAUUAAUGUUAAGACUUGGAUUGAAUAGAAUUUAAAUACUAAUACAUCUUCUUAAAUAGAAGAUUUGUAUGAUAGAAAUGGAUUUUACUAUAGUAUAUUUUUUUAAUAGCAUUUUUAUUUUAUAAUUAAACUAGAAAACAGAGAAAAAUAGCAAUUGACUCGAUCGUUUCGGUAGGAACACACUAGCGCUACGGUGUUUUCUUAAAAAAAUCGUUGAGAUUUCUGUACCGACUUUCCCGAUCUCAUAUUGCAUUAGUGUAUGUUGUUGAAUCAUAGACUAUGGAAUUUAAUGUGAGAUACUAUAGAACUUUGGUGAGAUACUGUUUACAUACAAAUCAGGUUUCGGAUAUCAAAUUUAACAUUUGCCUAAUACAAUUUUAGUUGGUUCAGCUGUUUCCUUGGUGAAGUGAAACUAAUAUAGUACUCAUGUAUAUAUAGGAUUUAUACACAAACAUGUUACAUAUGGAUCUAUACUAUCUUGAUAGGAAACGUUUACAAUAUACUAAAGAACUCUAAACCAGAUGAAAUGAGAAGGUGAAUCUUACAUAAUCUCAGAGAAACCCUAG